AUUGAACGCUGGCGGCAGGCCUAACACAUGCAAGUCGAACGGUAACAGGAAACAGCUUGCUGUUUCGCUGACGAGUGGCGGACGGGUGAGUAAUGUCUGGGAAACUGCCUGAUGGAGGGGGAUAACUACUGGAAACGGUAGCUAAUACCGCAUAACGUCGCAGGACCAAAGAGGGGGACCCUCGAGCCUCUUGCCAUCGGAUGUGCCCAGAUGGGAUUAGCUUGUUGGUGGGGUAACGGCUCACCAAGGCGACGAUCCCUAGCUGGUCUGAGAGGAUGACCAGCCACACUGGAACUGAGACACGGUCCAGACUCCUACGGGAGGCAGCAGUGGGGAAUAUUGCACAAUGGGCGCAAGCCUGAUGCAGCCAUGCCGCGUGUAUGAAGAAGGCCUUCGGGUUGUAAAGUACUUUCAGCGGGGAGGAAGGGAGUAAAGUUAAUACCUUUGCUCAUUGACGUUACCCGCAGAAGAAGCACCGGCUAACUCCGUG
rnacentral:rRNA from 1 species